GACAGAGGGUGCAAACGUUGUUCGGAAUUACUGGGCGUAAAGAGCGCGCAGGCGGUCGUUCAAGUCGCGUGUGAAAGCCCCCGGCUCAACUGGGGAGGGUCACGCGAUACUGAUCGACUCGAAGGCAGGAGAGGGUAGUGGAAUUCCCGGUGUAGUGGUGAAAUGCGUAGAUAUCGGGAGGAACACCAGUGGCGAAGGCGACUACCUGGCCUGUUCUUGACGCUGAGGCGCGAAAGCUAGGGGAGCAAACGGG
rnacentral:rRNA from 1 species